rnacentral:rRNA from 1 species
GACGAACGCUGGCGGCGCGCCUAACACAUGCAAGUCGAACGGAGCUGAGAGAAGCUUGCUUUUCUUAGCUUAGUGGCGAACGGGUGAGUAAAGCGUGAGUAACCUGCCCUGGAGUGGGGGACAACAGUUGGAAACGACUGCUAAUACCGCAUAAGCCCACGAUCCGGCAUCGGAUUGAGGGAAAAGGAUUUAUUCGCUUCAGGAUGGACUCGCGUCCAAUUAGCUAGUUGGUGAGGUAACGGCCCACCAAGGCGACGAUUGGUAGCCGGACUGAGAGGUUGAACGGCCACGUUGGGACUGAGACACGGCCCAGAAUCCUACGGGAGGCAGCAGUGGGGGAUAUUGCACAAUGGGGGAAACCCUGAUGCAGCGACGCCGCGUGGAGGAAGAAGGUUUUCGGAUUGUAAACUCCUGUCGUUAGGGGCGAUAAUGACGGUACCUAACAAGAAAGCACCGGCUAACUACGUG